CCAGGUUUGGAUUCUGUUGAAUCCAAGGCAGAAGUGAAACUUUUCCAUGGUUACUGUGGACAGCUGAGAGAAAAACCAGCCCUCAUGUUCAGCAUUUCUGAGUCAGAGCCACCAGCUGUAUCCUGGAUGAUGGAAACCCUCUGCAAAUGGCUCGUGGCACAAAACAUUGGAUAUACCAGCUUUGUGGGCUUCAAGGGGAGCCAGGGUUCUCUUCCUGGGAGCAGGGUGAGAGGAGAAGGAUGUGCCAGAUGUUGGGUGCUGUGGUUGCUGCAGCCAGAAAGCGCUCGGGCACACGGGUGAUGGGCACUGCAAGUCAGCAUGGAGGAGAGGAGGUGCAUCCACGUAACACCAGAAGCACAGUCAGUGUGACAAGUGGAUUCAGCUCAUUUGCUGCACCUCUAUGAAGCAUCUUGUCCCCUUGCCAAGCCACACCAUUUGUCCUGGCCGGCUGUUGGCAGUGGGAUGGGGAAACACACAGGGUGAGCGCUCUUUCACAGAAUGUGCACUCUGUCUUGCAUGUCCUAGAGCACUCAAGGGAUUAAACAAUAGGAAUCACAGGCAGAAUUAGCAUUUUAAUGGGGAACAAUGAGUUUGAAAAUUCCCAUAAUUUGGCCUUUGAGCACCAUCUGAAAAAACUGCAGGCACAGGGGGAAGGAGACAGAGAGACGGAGAAUGUGCUCUGCCCAGACUUACGAGAAAUCCCGGCUGUGUUUUAAUGAGGGAUGGGCUGAAGUAAGUCAGUGCAGCUGACCUUGUUGGAGACACAUUUUCCUCAUGCUAAAUCCUGACAUUUCAGACCUGCUUUCACACAUUCCAUGAAUAGAUGUCAUUACUCAUUAUCACAUUUAUCACUACAAGUCUAAAACAAUGAGGUGUCACCGAGGGGAAGGAUUAAAAUAGGCUCUAAAACUUCCCCCCCCACACACCUUCCCAGGAAGUACCUGGCAUAGGUCAUCAUAUGGCCAUGUGUUCUAAGAGGGGAAACAGAAGCCAAGCUCUUGAUCUGAAAAACUGUUCCUCAGAGAUGUUAUUUUGCUGAAUCCAAAACUUUCCAUUAUUCUGCUCCCUUCCAGACUUACAGAAGACAUUGAGAACAGCAUGGGGAGAUAAUAGCCACUUCUAUCCUGUACUGGGGGUUUAUUCUUUAUUUCACUGCAGGUAGCAUCUAGUACACAGUGUAGAUUUUUCCUACUUUUUCUAGUUUUCAUCAGUGGCAAUAAAAUACAUUGCAAAGAAUAAUUUAACCA
rnacentral:lncRNA from 1 species